rnacentral:lncRNA from 1 species
AAUAACGCGCUAGUCACCUUAAGGCAUGUCUGUAAUAAUUUUAUCUCCAUAACCACGGGUGAGCAUUUAUGUGACCCAAGUUCAAAUCCAACCAAGUUAAAUCGUGUCAAUUUCCACAGGUGCAUUUAUGUGACACGGUUUGCGGUACAUUUUGACGGCGUUGCAACUUUCCUUUGAAAAAUAAUAAUGAUAAAGCGAUUAAUAGAUUCAAAAUGCACAUAGGUUCAUAAUUGUAUAAAAUCAGAUAAUUAAAGCCAAAUAUGACAGUUGAGCGACCAUGCUAGAACCACGGAACCCGGGAAUGCCUAACACCUAGUUGGAAGGAGUAAAAAAUCACUGGUGCAUUUAUGUGACAUGGUUCGAGACACGUUUCAAUGACGUUGUAAUUCUCUUUAAAAAUAAUAAUAAAAGUGGUUAAAAGAUUCAAAAUGCACAUAGGUUCGUAUAAAAUCAGAUAAAUUAGGCCAAAUACAACAGUUGAGCGACCGUGCUAGAACCACGGAAACCGGGAAUGCCUAACACCUUCUCCCGGGUUAAUAGAAUUCCUUACUCGGAUUUUUGGAUCGCGGACUGUUAAAAAAAGUCAUUCUUUCCUCGAUUUGGGAUUCUAAACGGUGACUUGGGACACCAUAAAUCUCCCAAGUGGCGACUCUGAAUUCUCUUAAAUAAUUGAAUCUCAUUUCGAUUGUCUUUUAAUUAGAAAAACUCUCUUAUCUACGCCCUUCGCCGGGUUGUAGCAGCCAAAAUGAGGUGUGACACCGGCGAGACCACCUCGGUCACUUGAUGUGUCAUAUGAAUGACAUUGUCGUGCAAUGCUCAAAGGGUCAAAGAUUCCCAUGUCAACCUAGCCUGAGAUGGUGCCCGAUCUCG